CUGACGGAGCACGCCGCGUGAGUGAUGAAGGUUUUCGGAUCGUAAAGCUCUGUUGUUAGGGAAGAACAAGUACCGUUCGAAUAGGGCGGUACCUUGACGGUACCUAACCAGAAAGCCACGGCUAACUACGUGCCAGCAGCCGCGGUAAUACGUAGGUGGCAAGCGUUGUCCGGAAUUAUUGGGCGUAAAGGGCUCGCAGGCGGUUUCUUAAGUCUGAUGUGAAAGCCCCCGGCUCAACCGGGGAGGGUCAUUGGAAACUGGGGAACUUGAGUGCAGAAGAGGAGAGUGGAAUUCCACGUGUAGCGGUGAAAUGCGUAGAGAUGUGGAGGAACACCAGUGGCGAAGGCGACUCUCUGGUCUGUAACUGACGCUGAGGAGCGAAAGCGUGGGGAGCGAACAGGAUUAGAUACCCUGGUAGUCCACGCCGUAAACGAUGAGUGCUAAGUGUUAGGGGGUUUCCGCCCCUUAGUGCUGCAGCUAACGCAUUAAGCACUCCGCCUGGGGAGUACGGUCGCAAGACUGAAACUCAAAGGAAUUGACGGGGGCCCGCACAAGCGGUGGAGCAUGUGGUUUAAUUCGAAGCAACGCGAAGAACCUUACCAGGUCUUGACAUCCUCUGACAAUCCUAGAGAUAGGACGUCCCCUUCGGGGGCAGAGUGACAGGUGGUGCAUGGUUGUCGUCAGCUCGUGUCGUGAGAUGUUGGGUUAAGUCCCGCAACGAGCGCAACCCUUGAUCUUAGUUGCCAGCAUUCAGUUGGGCACUCUAAGGUGACUGCCGGUGACAAACCGGAGGAAGGUGGGGAUGACGUCAAAUCAUCAU
rnacentral:rRNA from 2 species